ensembl:lncRNA
AUAUGGGACAGCAUUAGCUUCCUGGACUAUUUAUUGGGUGAAAAUCAUAUUCUAGUUCCAGUUUACAUCCUUUCAAUGACUAGUAAGAACAUAAUAGUUCUCUGUAUUUUUCAACAAUAAUCUUAGGGCAACAGAUAAAGUUAUAAAAUAAUUUAGUGAACAGAUAAAGAGAAUGUCAAGUUGGUAUUUUAUAUCCCAGAAAAUCUACGGCUUGUGCAGACCAGUGAAGCAAUUGUAGACUAGGCUGAAGUUCUUUUAUUAGGCUAUGUUAUUUCAAAAAUCAAUGUGUUUUCUAAAGACUAAAUAGUCCUUUAGAAGAAAGGCAUUAAAACUUAUCCGUAGGCAGGCACAGCCAGCACCUGUGAUUUAGAUAGCCGAGAUGUCCGUUUAGGUGGUUUAGGCACAAAUUUAUUCCUAAGCCAGUGAGUGUCCCAUCUCUCAGCACUCACCUAUUUGACUAACAGAAACACAGGCUCGGGUUUUUAUUGACCUCAGGGAGCAUGGGUAAGAUCUCACUGGAGGGCAGCUCCUGAAAGCGCCAGCUUGAAAUAGCAACUACACCGAGGCAGCCCACCCAGGAAAACUGUUUCCCAGCCCGUGAGGACAAACCCCCAAAUCAAUUUACAACCGUAUUCAUGAAAAGCUCGAAGCGAGGUUGCUGUCAGAAUCUACUUCAAAGGCCAAGUUCUAAGAGGGGAUUUCUCUCCCUCCAGCUACCUUCAGGAUGAGACCCUCCUCUUAAAAGAUUUGUUUGAUAUUUACGUAAAAUCAGACUGGUUCUCAGGGAAAUAAUCGCUACAGCUGAGUCAAAGCCAGGCCUGGGAUGGAGCAAAAGCCUUAGGUGCGACUAACUGCCAAGACGGAAAGACGCGAACCCUGUGGGGGCAGAGGAAGGGCCUAGUGGUGAGGCAACCCAGCCCCCUUCCCGGGUGUUUCCAGAGGCGACCACGGAGGCUCGGCAUUGGGAGGCUCCUGCUGACAAGCACAGAGCUAAGCCCGGCAGGUACACCCAAAAAAGAUCCAGCAGACAACGCUCAGAGACCGACAGACCUCCGUGCCGAGUCCGCCGAGUUGUAGACAGGGAGCCAUUGCCAGCUGCACUGCACAUCGCCAAGGAGGGAAGUAACCCUUGGGUCUCGUGGGCACCUCUCCGUGGCCAGGGGCACUCCUUCCGGUUGUGUAGCAAGGCUGAGCACGCCUCUGGCCUGCUGAGGCCCCUGCCCUUGGAGUCAUAGGCUACAUAGCGACACCAGCUCAGUGACGCAUCUCUUUAUCAAAGCCAGUCAUUGGCUGUCAGAGCUCUGAAUGGCACUCCCAACUAAAAUACCAAGCACAGCCACGAGCUGAAGCCGGGCAGCACAAAGCCACCACGGAUUCAGGUCCCUGGGUGGGCCACUGGGUCGUGGAAACUUGUUCGUCUUGGGGUCUCCGACAUAAUAUUUUGGGUGACCUCUGUAUGCACCCGAUUGAAGAGCAUUUUGCCGAAACUCCGUUUGGGAAGCCAGCGUGACUGAGAUCCUUCUGGAUAUCGUGAUUGGCUUUGCUAUGGACAGGUAAACCCGGAAGCAGAGCACCUGAAGAAGAGGAAAGUCUGUCUGAUGUAUCUGCUGCCUCAAGACUUGGGGAUGUUCAUUUUGGGGAUUUACCCUUCUCUUCUAUGCUCCUGAAACUGGACACCAGUGCGGUGAGGGAAGAUUGCCUGCUGGGACAGCACAAAGGGAAGGAUAAUUAAUCAGGUUGUUAUUUGGCACGUGGCCAGAGGUUCCUUGGCAACACGGAUCCUUCAGCUGUCAGCAAUCAGAACACAGGCGGCUUUCAGUGGUCAGCGCCAUUGGAGGGGGCAGUGAUGUGUGUAAUCCGAAACAGCAGAUAAUCCCUCCAAAUCAUUUAAUUUAUCCUUUGAAUGAUUUUCACAUGUAUACACACGAUUUCUUCCCCUCUCAUGUUCCACUUAGAUUAAAAAUAAAACUAAUGUGCAUUCUUUGAAUAUAUACUGUACCAGUUGGUAAGAAGUUUCCUUUAGGAGCCUGGAUCUCAGAUUAAACAUUUUCUAUGGAUCACUCAUUAAUAAUCAAGGGUUUAAUAUAUUUGACUCCAUAGACUCAUUGUGCUGGAAGAAAACAAAGCACUUCUUCACACGCUUUGCUUUGAGUCAAUUGCUUGAGACCUUGUGGAUAGCUAAAUGUCCACCCCGUUUGUCACUACUUCAUUCCGAGGAAUUCUCCUAUUGGCUGCUCCUUUAGCCAGGUGUAUCAGCUCAAGUGUUUCCCAUUGGCUGUGUGAUGGUGAUGCGAAGCUAAAAUGCCAAGCCUAAAAAACCCAGUGUCCCAACCUUGACAGCUCAUUAGAAUCAUCCAACAGUGUUAAAAACAUUCCAUGUCAAUUAAAUUAAAGUCUGGAUUGUGAGCAGGGGACACUGGUUGAGUUUGGGGCAUCAAAGUUGAAUAAGCUCUCUAGUGCGAUCAAGGUUGAGAACCACGGCUCAGCAUCCUGACUCCUACAAAUAGCCACAGACAAACCUCCUCACUGCUGUGUCUCAGUUUCAUCUACAAAGUUGAAUGAUGAGAUUGACAGUUUAAUACUUGCCUUGCUGAAUUGCUGAGAAUUUAAUACAUAGAAAACUCCUAUUACAGUUACUAACACAUAAAAAGCAUGAUGUAAAAUGUUAGCUGAUAUCACUACCACUCCUACUACUGUUACUACCAUUUGAGGGACCUAGAGAAGCAGCAUUCAAAGGGUUUGUGUAGACACACUGGGCUAAAUGAGGACCCUUUUUGUUUUGGGUUUUUUCUGGUACCAGGGAUCGAACUCAGGACCUCGUGCUUGUGAGGCAGGCAGCGGCACCACUGAGCUAAAUGCCUGGCCCUAGGACUCCUUUUGAAAUGUUGGCUUGUGGACCUUGGCGUUUGACUUCUCUACUCAACAAAAUAUCCAGUGAGUUGGAUGUAAAAGCAUAGUCACUGGGAAGAAAUUAACUAGCUCCUGAAAAGGGAUUUACUGCUCAGCUUGGCAGAGGAAAAGGGGGAACAUAUUAGUGGGUUGAAUUUGAUCUCUGUGGUUUUUUUAAAAUUACCACAGCACUGGCCAUUGUUCACUCACUCAACACUUAUUAUAUUGUUUAUUAUCAUGCAACAGUUAAUGACAGAAUCUGAUUUAAAGCCUUUCUGGUCCCACUGUUCCAUUCCAGUCACAUCUCCAUCUCAGCAGCUGUGAUGGGAUGGGGUGUGUUUAAAUGGGCAGUUGCUUCCCUGGGCCCGCAGGGAACAUCUUAUAUCAGUUUUCUUGUGGUUUCGAGAAGUUUUGUACAAUAAUUUCACUGUAAUGCCAGGAAUUGUUUGAUUUCUCAUUGUUAUAAACUGAAUGUUUCUGACCCCUCAAAAUCCCUACACUGAAACCCUAAACCUCAAUGUGAUGGUUUUAGAUGGUGGAGCCCUAGGGAACAGGAUUAGUGUGCUCAUAACAGGGGUCCAGGAGCAGCCUCUCCGCUUCAUAAGGGAAUGAUGAAAAAAUGGCUGUUAGCAGCCCGGAAGAGGGUCCUCAGCAGAGCCCAAGCAUUCUGGGACCCGGACCCUGGACUCCCAGCCUCCACACCACUGAGAGAGAUAAGUUUCUAUUGUGCGUAAGCUAGCCAGUGACUUUUCUACAUUUCAGUCUCAACUUUCCCUACCUUGACGAGUCUGGGCGCCAUCCCUUUUCCUUACCCGGUUACUGGAUAAUCACACAUGGUCAGUCCCUAGGGUGAGCUAGGAAAAUAUUGGCAAAUAGCCUUCAACUCUUGGCCUAAGGUGGUCUCUGCUGUACGACAUUGAUACCUGAAUGAUUGGCUGAGAUGAUCGAACAGAUAUUUAUUACAAAUCCACUUGAAUUUUGUGAAGGCUCCCGGAACGAGUGACUGCUGGCCCGGAUCUCAGUCUUGAGCAGAAAACAGUUAGGGUGCCAGAGGAAAAGUGAGGUACCCAAGGUUUGACUCCUUGCGGGGCAAGUUUCUUAUGUCCUCUGAGACUUUCCUCAUCCGCAAAGUGGAAAUUUUAGUAAAACUUCUUGGCUGCACCCUGGGAAGAUUAAAUGAAGGAAUACCCAAAAAAGCACGCAGCAUGUUAGCUGGCCAAGCAGCAGCGGUUCAAUAAAGGGUAUUUCUUGCCCUGAAUCCCUCUUUCCCAGUUAUACAGCAACACAGAGAAGCGAUUGCAGGCACAAAUCUUUUAAAAUAUUUUUAACUCAACUACAUUGUUGCCUAAAACACUGCUUUGUUAGUUUAAUGCAGAUGUCACAGCAGCCAUCAGUUCCAAAGACCAACUGAUUCAAGACAGUUCUGUAAUCCUGAGGUCUGAGGAGGGAAGGUGGGGUUGCAAGCUCUCCUCAGACUCCAUUGGGCAAGUCUGACAGAAGAAAAUACAUUUUUUACAUAUAAUCUGUAGGUUUUAGAAACAUUUAUAAUUUUUUAAAAUAAAAGGCCAUGUUAAGUUGAAGAUGUGAUUUUUUUAAAAAAUGUUCUUCCAAAAUAGCUAGUAUUCUGCAAACUCAUUCAACGAAGUUGUUUAUUCUCCAAAGUGCUGCCCAUAUUGGUAUCACACCUGUUUAACCACACCGAUAAGCAACCUGGAAACUCACUGUUAGCGCAGAGGACUUUGGACUUUGUGGAAAUGAACAAACUGUAACAUCUACUUAUUGCCAACGCGUCGGUGGUGAUUGUGCUUAGAAACCAUUUUUCCAAAUUUGCUUUGCACCUAAAGAUUACCUACAACUGGUGGUAAUGUUAAAAUACUACAGCUUCCUAGCUGGUAGGUAAAGAAGUGCUGAAUAUCACUUUGAAAAACAGGUGCGGGCUGGGGAUGUAGCUCAGUGGUUCUGCCACCUGCUUCACAAGCUCAAGGACCCGAGUUCAAUCCCUGGUACCAAAAAAAAAAAAAAAAAAGAGAAAAAGAAAGAAAGAAAAACAGGUGUAUAAUUAAUUAGUUUUACUUUUUAAAAAUAAAGGUGCCCCUUUGAGAAAUAUUCUAGCACAAAUACAUAAUAAAAUCGCAAUAUCCAUACACAAAAGUAAACUUUCACAUUAAGGUGAGGAGGAGUCAUUCUAAUUCUGUGAUUAAAAGUUAUUGGAUUGGAAAAAGGUUAUUUUAAUAAAAUCAAGGACAUAUUAAAAUGUACAGUAUAGAGUGAUUCUUAAAGUGCCCAUCACUCAACUGUAACAUCAGCCUCAGUCAAGCCUGCCCCAUCCACACCCUUUUCAAACACACUUCCCCCUGCCCACUGUUUUUUGUUUUGUUUUGUUUUUGAGAUGGUCUAAAUCACUAAAUUAUCCGAGAACUUGCAAGCCUUCCACAUAAGCCUUCCAGGCAUGUGUCACCACACCCAGCUCCUAUAUUAUUUUGAAGUAAAAUCCAGACAUAUAACUUCACCUGUAAACAUUUCUGUACUUGUCUCUAAAGAGUAACUACUAUCUUGUCAAAAUAAGCACAACACCAUCACCACACCUAAAAGAACAGUUUCUCAGGUCAUCAAAUAACCAGGCAAUGUUCAAAGUUCCAGUUGUCUCAUACUACCAAAACUUUUUUAAAAAAUCAAGACCCCAUUAAGUACAAGCUUUGUGAUUGACUGAGGUUUUUGGAGUGUCCUCUUAAUUACAGAGCCUCCUCCAUCUUUGUAUUCUCCCUUGCAAUAAAUUUGUUGCUUGUCCUCAAAAGCGCGCGUGCGCACACACACACACACUGAGUUUUGUUAAUUGUAUCCUGGGGUGGUGUUUAGUAUCUUUUUCUGUAUUUUAUUUUUGAAAAUUUGUAACUAGGAGCUUGAUCCACAGGUAAGUUUUUAAAUGUUUUGACUUUCAUCCUUUUUCAAUUCAUUCAACUUUUACCUAAUACCUACUAUGAAUUUGUAACUGUAGGCUGCUAUGGAAACAAAACUGCAUCAGGAAUGUAGGUAAGAGUGAAGGAAAUACACGUAGACAGAAUUAGAAUCGGUGUUAUUGUGUUAAAGCCUAAAAUGGGGCUUAAGAAGCCCUGUGGUGGUGGCAACUAGCUUUCCAGAGAGAACAGGGAGGAAGGCUUUACUGAGAUGACUCAGGAACUAGAAUUGGAAAAAGGUAGAACAGGGACAGAGGGAGAGAGGAAGGGCAGGCAAUUUCCAGUCCAAGGGAUCAGCAUAUGCAAAUAUAAGAAACGAGCUGGAGAUUUAGCUCAGUGGUUCCAGCAACUGCCUCAAAAGUGCAAGGUCCCGAGUUCCAUCCCCGGUACGAAAAAAAAAAAACCAACAAAAAAACAAAAAACACAGCUGAAAGAUCUGGCUGCCUCAGGUAGGAUUACUGAUGACAGUGUCUCUGAAAUGGAUAAAAAUAUCCUAAACUCCCUCUCUUCCCUAUUGCUAACUCCAGGAAAAUUGCCUGCUUAGUUCCUGCCUCCUUGGACUCUGGAGGAGCGUAUGGCUUUUAGAAGGAGUUAGUCAUCCGGGCAGAGGGGAGGAGUCCCAGGAUAGCAGAGAAAGACUGACAGCAGACGAGAGGCCGGAGCUGAGCGCUCCGGAACAACGCUUUGGGCAGCGCCCAGCUGGCCUAGUUGGUGACUGGGGCCUUUGGCACACGCAGAGGGGAAUCGUUUACACACGUAUAAUUCACCGGCAGCCUCUGGUAGGUAAGAUGUCCUGGGAGGGCGCUUCAUCCUCAUUUCCUCAGUCCCCUGGGCACGUUUUCCUCACCCCUCCUGCUUCCCCUUCCCCAGCAACCGUGACCGUGAUCGAUAAAUACGAGGGCAGAAUCUGAUUCUGCAAAUACGAGGAGAUGCCUGGGGGAGAAAGUGGCAAGAGGGGUCGGGUGAGAGGAGCAGACACCUCCCGAGAGGACACUCCCAACAGUCCCAGGCUGCCCUCCUGCGACGACACUCCCGUCCCUCUCCUGACUGGCAAACUCCGGCUCAUUUUCAAGCCAGCUCAGGGCCACUGCCCCUGCCCCUCGCAGCCCUUCAGCAUGCCCAGGUGGGACGGGCCGCCUCCCUUACUUCACUCGUGCAGCACGUGCACGGUCUUUGUCCCUGCUCUCACCCCUCUGUACCAUCGUCUGCUUGGGCCUUCUAGCUUCUGUAUUUGACCCCUUUUAUAGGGAUGUGGCCCAUUCUUCAAGUUUCUGUGCCUAGUCUAGCACCACUACCCAAAGACACGUCGUGGACAUUUGUUUGGCGACUAGUUGAAAAUAAUAAAAGGUUUGGCCUGCAUGCUUUGCCUAUCUUUUUUUCCCCUCCCAGUUAGAAGAGGGUUUAGCAGAUGAUGAUCUAGAAAAAAUGUCCAGCUUGACUUGUGGAAUACGGCCUAAAAUUGAGGCCCAGUAUUAUGUAUACCCCAACAUCUGGGGAAACCAAGGGAGUCUCAAAUGGCCUAGUGCAAAGUUCUCUUCCCCUCUGCUCCAGUGGACAAAGGGAUAAGGUCCCCGAGCCAAACAACCCUCCUCAUUGAGUGGACCAGGUACUGUGCCUGCUCACCCAGAAAACUGGCUUUCAGGUCCUGUCAGCCUGUGGAAUUCAAACAGGCCAGUCACCUCCUCCCAUGGAAACCACAGGUUCCUUACCUUUUAGAUACUACAGAGCCUGCUUCCCAUAGCCCCUACUGCUCAUUCUGUGUCCACAUCAGCCACCAUUUUGCUUGUGUGGGUAUCCCUUCUCCCCCACUAUGAGUAUAUAAGCAACUAAUAAACCACCGUCAAGCUCGCCUGGCCAAUCCCAUGAGCCCAAUGGGGAAAUCCGUCCAUACCAAUGUGGUAAAACAGGAGGUGACUGAAACCAUUGGUUCUCAGAGGAAUGGCAGGGAUGGGGGACAUGGAGGCCAGGCAGGGCUCUAGAAGACCUAGCAGUCUUAUUUCACAUCCAUCAUGAGUCUUACGUCAUGCAGGGCUUCUGCAUCCCUGAGGUAGUACUGAUAAUCCAUACGUGGUUCACAAUGGUAUUGAAAAAAGCCCGACCUGAAUGUGCAUUUAUGAAGUAAAGCCUGCCUAGGUUUAUAAAUAAAUGCUACAUGUUGAGUAGGCCAGCUAUUUCAUAAUGAGGCACAGAGUUGAAACGUUAACUUUUUAAAACGUCUUUAAUAAGGACCUUCUGGCUUAAACUAAGCUAAAUGUUUUGGGAUUAUUAAAUUCUCAGCCUUGAGCUGAUUCCUUUGAAUCCCAUUGUGUUUUUGUCUUUAACCCAACUGAAAGCAUUCAGUAAUCAAAGCCCUAACCAGCUGAGGUAAUGCAAACAAGAGCAAGUUUUUUUGGCUGGAAUUAUUUCCAUGAAUGUGCCACUUUCCACCUGGAGUUAGUGUUGGGCCUGUAGUUAUGCCGGAACUGCAUUUCACAUUUGUAAAAGAACAAGCUCCUUCCUACCAACAGCUAUGAGACAUAAGCCACAAAUCGAAGACUCACGUCAGUAUCCCCCUUCCUCAUUUAAUAGAAUGUUUACUACUUAAUUUUUAAAUAUAGGUAUUAGAAAAACAGGGAAACCACCCAAAACAUGAAAAACCCAAGCUUCAGAAAUCUGUAAGGAGGAUGUUUUCUUGAAAAAACCUUAUCCCGUUGAAUCAUUCAAUUUUCACAUGUGACUUUCUGCAGAAAAAAGUUCAGAUUCCAUUCUCAGUUCAAAUCCAUUGUUCUCUAGGUAAUUGCCCCAGACCAGCAGGGUAUUACUCUCUGAUGUACCAGCAAGCAAAUAAUUUCAGCUGACAGCAUUCUGGCAUCUCUUGUAGUUUUUAAAACGUUCUUUGGUAUCCAAAGAAGUUGAAUACAUCUGAUAAAUGUCUGAGACACUUGGAUAAAGUUCAAAUUGCUUUUUUGAGCAAAGAAAGUAUGUUAAAAGUGGACUCUCUUCACUUUUUAAAAAUUCCCUACAUGCUACAUUUGCAUGCUGUAUUACUAUUGGUUGCAAUACUAUUUCUUAGUUCAAUUCUACCUACUCUAUGAAGCACUUUAUAAAACCUGGCAACAAUUCUCACUUUACAAGUUUAUUAACUUUGUAAAAUUUAAUAAUGCCUCAAUAGUUCCAUAGCCCUCCAUGUCCUUUCCUGCCAAGGCCCUGAGAAACUCAAAAUAGCACUGUGGAAAACAGGUGGCUAUGGCAUAGCUGCUCUUCUUCCCCCCGCCCCUCAGUGUUCUAUUUAUAAACACUGCUCCAGUCACCUGGAUUAGACACACCAACUCAGAGCAGUUAGUGUCUCAGGAUGAGGAACAGAGCACAACAGUCUCUGCUCCUAACUUUUCACACUAAGGGCUAGGGAUGUAGCUCAGUGGCAGAGCAUUUGACUAGCACGUAGAAGACCCUCAGUUUGAGCCCCAUCACAAAACAGACAAAAACCCUAAAAGCUUAUAAAGUGCAAAAGGACACUAACAGUUCGUGUGGCCCAGCUCUUAUAUGUAGGGGAGUCUUGUUGAUGCGAGCCUAGGGUGUCCUUUCCCUGAUUUCAGAGGGUUUGGGAGGAAUGACAGCAAGGCUGUGGUUAGUCUAGAUUCCAAUCCUAGUUUUGUUACUGACUCCCUAAGUUGGCAAGUUGCUCUCUCUGGGCCUCUCUUUCCUUAUUUGUAGGACAUUGGACCAGAAGAUCUUCUAAUGUCCUUUCAGAUCUAAGCUUUCACAUAUGGUUAUUUCUGAAGAUGGUCUCAACAAUCCUUCCCAUUUCCGAUCUUAUUUUUAAGAUAUUUACCUAAUUACUGUAAAAUCAUGCACUUUCACAAACGUGUACAUCUCUGUAUAUAUUACCACUCAAGGUGUGGGGUAUAGCCACUACGCCCUCAAUUUCCCUCAUCCCCCUUUGCUAGCAAUCCCUUCUUUCCAGCCUUGAGCAACCAGUGAUUUACUUUCCGCCACUAUCUAUUAGUUUGCCUUUUCUAGAAUUUCAUAUAAUCAAACAAUGCACUCUUUUGUGGCUAGCUUUUUUUUGUACCGGGAUUGAACCCGGGUCCUUGCACUUACAGGGCAGACAGAACCACUGAGCUAAAUCAAAUCCCCAGCCCUGUCUGGCUUCUUUUACUCAGCCUAACCGUGCCCCCUUUUUUUUUUCGCAGCGAGCUUGUACCCUUCUCCCCUCAAGAGUAGAGUAGGUUUCCCAUCACUUUGAACCCAGGCUGGCCCAGUGACUUGCUUUAACUGACACCACAGAAGGCUGCGUGACCCUUUUCACGCUCUCACAAACGUAUCACGUGAAAAAUGCUCAAGCUGGGCUACUUUCUCAAGACCAGAGGGAUGGGAGGGCAGGAACCAGCCCACCAGCUGAGCUCGAACCUGGCCAAGGGGUGAUAAGAAUGAAAAAUAGAGACACAGAAACAGGUUAAAAUCUGGGAGGCCAGAGAGCUCACGUCUCCCUUCGAUAUAGAGCCGCAAGCCACUGGCCACCUUGGCUUUAUUCACCCAGACACGGGCAGAGCAAUUACAGUUCACAGAAUCCAUCUGUCUCCAACCCCACGGUACUUCUCCGGGUAAACAACCUACCCUCCGGUGUUUCUACUUCUCCCUGCGGCGUGUUAGCUCGCUUGGAUCCCCCUUUUCCUCUCAGUGCUGGCCGAAGAGGCCAAUUAGGCCUCAGUCUUCCCACCUGGUCGCCACACGGGGUGGGAGGGGUCCCAGGGGUCCCACCCAGCGGCACCGGGCCCAGAUGAAGAUGUCUUAGAUCUUCCAGCUGAGGCACCCCCGUCAACACACGGAGCGGAAACAGCCAUCCUCACUCACCCAUCCGCACCUCUAACCCAGAGAACUAUCCAGUGUUCUGGCAUUUGAAUUACAAUAUGUUCUGAAGAAAAGAAUGCAGAGUUUGGAAGCCACGCGCCUUCACUUCAUAUACCUCAUGAGCUGUAUGGUUCUGGGCAUGUUUGAAAGCUUCCUGCUCCUGAUUUCCUCCAUUUAAAAUAGAAGUAUUUCCUGGGAUGGUAGACAGCACAAAGUGCAAGAACAAAUGGAAAAUUUAUACAAAAACAAAAGCACUUCAUUUCUAUAACCCUGGCAGGUCCUCUGUAUUUGCAUGCCAUGUGUGUCAGGUUUUCUGUCAUAGGCUUGAACUUUCAAAAUAUAUCUGCCUAUCGAUCUGGAAGACAAGACAAACAGUAUUUCUGUCCUAUGGCUUUUUGUCGAGAAAAGUGAGAUUUGAGCAUGAGAGAUUUUGCUAUUCUCCACAUGGUAUUUUGUUGUGGGCUACUACAAGACCCACAGGGAAAAUCCACAUGAAGGAGACAUUAUCAUAGGGGGUUGAAAGCUGAAGUUUAUAUAAAGAAAUGCUUUGGCUUGGGGGUUCAUAUAGAGCUUAGGACUGCUAGCUCUACCAAUGAAAGAAUUAUGGUAGUUUUAUGUCCCUCCUCAAAUACAAUUUGAAAUAUUUUUAAAAAUCACACUUUGGAGGACAUCAUGUUAAGUGAAAUAAGCCAGGCACAUGAAGCAAAUACUCCAUGUUCUUGCUCAUUUGUAGAAACUAAAAAAUUGGUAUCAAAAAAGUGGAAUAGAGACCAGGAAGGAGAUGAAGAACAAUGCAGAGAGAUUAGAUCGGGGAGAAAACACAGUCACAUAGAAGAAAUUAGUUCUGGUGUUCAAUAGUCUAAUAGGCUACAAAAAUCUGUAUUUUCAAAUAACUAGAAAAGCAUGAGUUACCAAUACGUAGAAAUGAUUGAUGAUAUAGAAAAUAGCAUGAUUUGGUCAUUAAACAUUGUAUACAUGUAUCAAAAUUGUACAGUACUCCACAAAUACAUACAAAUAUUAUGUGUCCAAAAAUAAGCUUUAAAAAUCACAACAAACCCUAAAGGUAAUGAAGCCCAAGUUUCUGAUUUGCCCCAUAAGUACUUCAAAGCUUUGUGUGAAAUACCAAAUCUUUCCAAUUUUUUUCUUGAUGUCCUAAACAGUGGCUCUCAAAGUAUGUUCCCUAAACCAGGAGCAACAGCUUCACCUGUGGCCCUGUUAGAAACACUAAUUGAGGCCUCACCCCCAAAUUUACUGAAGAAACUUGGGGGUGCUAGAUUCAGCAGCACAUACACUAAAAUUGCAAUGAUACAGAGAUUAGAGUGGACCCUGAGCAAGGAUGAGAUGCAAAUUCAUGAAGCAGUCCAUAUUUUUCGGGAAAUAAGAAAAUGUUAAAAGGGGAACUAGGAGGGAGCCGAGGGAAAGAAAAACUGAGAAGGAAAAAAUGGAGACAAGGCUUUUGUAAAUAUGGAGGGAUGGAGGAGCUGAAGGGAGGGAAGAGGAAUGGGGAAAAAGUAAGAACCAAGAUACACCUUAUACAGCUGGGGAUGUAGCUUAGCACCUGCCUGGCAACCACAAGAUCCUGAGUUUGAUCCCUGGCACCAAAACAAAAACAAGAUAUAUCAUAUACAGACACAAAUUCCCUAUGAUGCAUGUGAUCAUAAUUUACACCUAAAAUGCACCAAUAAACUUAAUUAGAAAAAAAAAAACCCUCAGAGGUCUCUCCUAGAAUGUUUUAACAAGUCCUUCAGGUUUGAGAACCGCUGCUUUAAACAUAAUUUGGGCUGCUCAUUACCUCGUCUCUCAAACUAGCUGUUCAUUAGAAUCUCCUGAGAAGCUUUAUAGAAAUAGCAAUACUGGGAUUCUAACUCCACAGAUUCUAAUUUGAUUGGUCAGGGGCAGGCCAGCCAAUCAGCAUUUUUAAAAAGCCUCCUGAGUGAUUUCAGCAUUAAAAACCACUAGCAUGUGGGUAAUCUGACCUCUAGGCUUGAGCAAUCGAGGGGUCAGAAGGCCAGCUUGCUUGAAAGUAGGGAUAGUUCAAAAGCAUGUUUAAGCAAGUUUAAGAUAAAUUUAAACGUGAAAUGGAGAAGGGAAAGAAUUAUAAACCACAGCCUCAGGGAUUAUUUGGGUGUAGUGAGCAUUUUAGAUUGAAGGAAAGGGGAAUUUUUUUAAAUUGAUGGAAGUGUCAAAGAGUACAACUGAGAUAAAUUGAAAUUGAAAAUUCUUUCUGGGGCUGUUGUACACUAGGACCCUGUCAUACAUUUAUACUGAGCUUAAAAUAAUCCUAGAGACAUCUCUAUUCUUUUAAAAAAUGUUUAAUUUUGCAGUUCUCCACAUUGCUUUGUGGUAUGCAACUGUAAAAUUGGUUAGGGUCAUGCAAAAUGUGAAAUCUGAUUGGAUAGUAAUUAUCUUCAUUUACACAACACCCAACUGAAGGAAAUAACGAUCAUUUUUAGACUUUACAAAAUACAAGCUAAAAGUGAAAUUCUGCUAAAGUUAAUUUUAUAAAGAUUCUGAUUUUAUUUCUUUUUUUUUUUGUUUAUAACUUGGAUGAGUUGGAACAAAAAAUAGAAAAGUUUUGAAAGAAAUGGUGAAGGGACUCUAGCAAAGAAGGUGGCAGCAAAUGAAUGAGAAAAAUGACAGACGGCCGGGGAUUUAGCUCAGUGGUUCUGCCGCCCGCCUCAAAAGCACAUGGUCCCGAGCUGGAUCCCCGGUACUAAAAAAGCAAUGCAAACCCAUACUGUCAAUAUACUUAUUGUACUUACUGGAUGAACAAAUGACCUCCAAAGAUAGGUCUAGUUUUGCAUGUUAGGAUGCUAUAAUGACUGAGGCAUUAGUAACGAAAUCAAACUUUUCUCGAAAAACACUCCCCAGACGUGUUUCCAAGUACUGCACCCAGCACCUCCCUGUAGGUAUUCUGAAAGUCCCUGAGCUCUCUGUCUUGCUUUCGGGCAGCCACCCACACUCCCACAUACUGAAGGAGAGGUAUCUAUCUGAGGGUCUAUGAAGAAAGGACUUUCAUUUGUUCAUAAGUUUUGGGCAGGUUCACCUCGGAGAAUCAAUCCCUAGAAUGAAGGGGAAAGCAACCAAAAAGAGCUCCAUUCUUUCAUCCUUUGGAAAAUGGAGUGGAAAGAGUAACUGCCUCUUACUGGUCCUUAAUGGGUUACUGCUCCAAAAUCAAAUGAGCAAGUUGGGAGAGACGAGUUUUCGCAGUGUCUUGUGGCUCUGCGCUCACCCACAGUACCCUCGAACAAAGCGCCCCGUUUGGCUUCUGUUUGCUGCGUCAGCGAGUACGCAGAGCCGCCUCCCCUACGCUGCCAGGUACUAAGCUCCAGGACCAACACCCACCAAUUCUCUGCUCUCGGGUUUGUGCCGAGAGAAGCCGACGGACAGACAGGAGGAAAAAGACGACGUCGUGAGAACUCGGACAACCUGGUCUCGUGCAAAAUUUUACAUCAGAAACAUAAACGCGAAGGAAGAAGAUACUAAAGGGGAAGUCGCCUACUGCCGCCUCUAAGGCUCAAUCCGAGCGAGAGCCAACCGACCAGGACACAAAACGGAAACCCGAGGGUCGCCCCGCUCCGCGACCCCGCCCCAUCUUUGUUCCCCUCGCGCU